GCUGAAGUAGUGUAGUAGUUAGCAUUUUACAUUCCCAAUCUCCGUUUGGAAUAUGUGAGGACUCGGGUUCAAAUCCCGACUUCAGCA
rfam:Cladophialophora immunda strain CBS 83496 unplaced genomic scaffold supercont1.5, whole genome shotgun sequence.